AGGAGUUUCACCUAACACAUCAAAUUCAUCUAAUUUAGAGGACCAAAAGGGGAAAAAUGAUAGUGUAGCUGGUGGAGAAGUUAAAAUGACUAACUUAAACAAUAUUACUCUGAAUUCUGAUAAUGAGAAAAUCAGUGUCCCAGAGAAUGGAACAAGUAAAGGGAGAAGGCUUCUAGAAGACAAUGUCUUGAGAAGUUCGGAGGAAAGUGAUUCUGGAUCCAAAGAUGUUAGAACUGCAACUGUGGAAAAUGAAGGAGGUCUGGAAGCGGAAGCUGAUUCAUCAUUUGAGUUAUUCCGGGAUAAUGAGGAUAUCCCUGAUGAUUAUGAUUAUGACGAGGAUGAUUACCUUGAUGAUGAUGAAUUAUGGAAAACUGAAGAAUUU
rnacentral:misc_RNA from 1 species